UGGGGAAUAUUGCACAAUGGAGGAAACUCUGAUGCAGCGACGCCGCGUGAGGGAAGAAGGUUUUCGGAUUGUAAACCUCUGUCUUCGGGGACGAAGGAAGUGACGGUACUCGAGGAGGAAGCCACGGCUAACUACGUGCCAGCAGCCGCGGUAAAACGUAGGUGGCAAGCGUUGUCCGGAAUUACUGGGUGUAAAGGGAGCGCAGGCGGAACUGCAAGUUGGGCGUUAAAUCCACGGGCUUAACCCGUGUCCGCGCUCAAAACUGUGGUUCUUGAGUAGUGCAGAGGUAGGCGGAAUUCCCGGUGUAGCGGUGGAAUGCGUAGAUAUCGGGAGGAACACCAGUGGCGAAGGCGGCCUACUGGGCACCAACUGACGCUGAGGCUCGAAAGCAUGGGUAGCAAACAGG
rnacentral:rRNA from 1 species